rnacentral:rRNA from 1 species
AUGUUGGGCACAGCCUUAUGCCCGAACAACAUUUGGCAGUAUUUCUCCUGGUGUUAUGUGUUCCUCCCUGAUGGAGCCAGGUUCUAUACUUUUGGCCUGGCAGCCAUAUGCUGGGUUAUUUGGAAUAGCCGCAACCAGGCUACCUUCAAACAUAAGCAACUUAAGACCCCCUUUAACGUGGUAUAUUCUGCCUGUGGUUUUUUGACUUAUUGGGUAGGUUUGAUGGCUGGCGCUGAUCGGGAUGCAAUGGAACGUGGUGCCAAGAUGCUCAAGACGAACGCUUCUGUGAUGAUGCGAAUCUGUGUAGCUCCAGCCAGGGCAGCGAUGGAUUGA